rnacentral:rRNA from 1 species
UACAGAGGGUGCAAGCGUUGUUCGGAAUCAUUGGGCGUAAAGGGCGUGUAGGCGGUUUGUUAAGUCAUGUGUGAAAUCCCUCGGCUCAACCGGGGAACGACGCAUGAAACUGGCAAGCUAGAGUACCAAAGAGGGCGGUGGAAUUCCCGGUGUAGUGGUGAAAUGCGUAGAUAUCGGGAGGAACACCAGUGGCGAAGGCGACUACCUGGCCUGUUCUUGACGCUGAGGCGCGAAAGCUAGGGGAGCAAACGGG